ensembl:snRNA U6 U6 spliceosomal RNA
GUGCUCGCUUACGCAGCACAUAUACUAAAAUUGGAAUGAUACAGAGAAGAUUAGCACGGCCCCUGUGCACGGAUAAUGUGCACAUUCAUGAAGCGUUCCAUAUUUUU